GUCCUUAUUCCUGGGACCCCAGAGCUGAGGAAGGGGGAGGGGAGGAGAGGGGAGGAGGAUGGAGAAGGGAAUGGUUCUCCUCAGGGCUGCAUCUUUCCUCAGAUAAAGCCUCCUCCAGUCCACAGAACUUCUUGACGUGGCUGAUUAAGGGAGCCCUGUGUGGAAUGCUUGUGUCUGCUCUGCUCUUCAUAUGCCUCACAGUCUGCUUAAUGAAGAUGCUUAAAACAAAACUUUCAAGGAGAGACUUGGAAGCAGCAGUCUCUGGGAGAGGAACUCAACACAUCUCCACUAGCAUCACACUGGUUGAACAUGAGAAUACUUGGAAACAUGACCCUUCAGAGCCCCCUCCAUCAUCUCUGCUGGACUUUUGCUCACAAGAGAGGGAAGACCAGGUCCAAUAUGCCUCCAUCUUUCUCCAAGUCCAGAAGCCCCAAGAGGUUCCUAAGCCAGAAGACACCCACACUGAGUAUUCAGAACUCAAGCUUUGAUAAAGAAAUCAAAGCAAGAAGGGUGGAGAUUAAUUGGGACUAGGGAGAAACUGGGGGUGCUGAUUUGAGAAAGAAAAUGUUCUCAGGAGGAAUCCAUCAGCAGAAAUAUAUUGGCAUUAGUCACUGUGGGGGAGCCAAAAGGGAUAGGGCAUCGUCUUAUAGGACCUUACAUGGUGAUUAGAUGAACAAAACCUAGUGAGGGACACAGAGCAUAAAAGUCAGAGCUGAAAGAUUCUGGUAAUGGGUCAUGUAUAUGCCCAACCCUCAUCUCCCUUUCCUGAAUUCCAGCCUGGUAUUACCAACUUCCUGCUAGGUAUCUCCAUCUGAAUGUCCCUUAGGCAACUCCAAUUCAACAUGUUCAAAUCAGAACUCAUCAUAUUGUCCAUACCCUAAGCUCACCCUUCCUCUAAACUUCCGUAUUUCUCUUAAGGGCACCAAUAAUUAGGUUCCAAAGCUUAGAGUUAUCAUUAGCUCUCAUCUAUAUCUAAUGAAGUGCUAAAUCUGGUCUACCUUCCUUGCGUGAUUCAUGUCUGUCCCCUUCUCUCCUUUCACACACAUACUGCCUCUAGUAUAGUUCAGUCCUUCAUCAUUUGAUACCUGAACUAUUACAAUAAUCACUGAUUUGGUCUACCCUCCUUCUGCCUCUACUCUAACCCAUUCUCCACACCAUUAAACUGAGUCUAAAGACAUGGAUCUGACCUUGUCACACUAAUAAUUCAAAAAACCUUCAGUGAUUCCCUAUCACUACUUCGACAAAAUAACUCUCAUUCUGGUCUUGAGAGCCUGCCAGUCUGUACCCUCCACCCCCUACCUUUUCAGUCUUAUUUCAUACCACUCCAAUUCACCCAUUCAUCAGCCCCAUCAAAUUGGGUCUUCUUCUAUCGCCUUGCCUUUGCAUGAAGAACCUCAAGCUUCCUUCAGAACACAGCCCAGAAGACACAGCCUACAUGAGGCAUUUCCUAAGGCCCUUCAUCCCAGUCAUUGACAUUUUCUGCCUCCA
ensembl:lncRNA uncharacterized LOC103099324